UUCCUCAUGACGCAACCCUCAACAUCCCUGGAUUGGAGAAGCAUGGGAGAAGACAGGGGCCCUCACUGCUGUCCCCGUCGGCAACAGGCACCAGGGAACAUGACCAGCACCCCUCCCUGCAGACAGAGGGUCCUGCACUCAGGCACCAACACAGGCCAUACAGCCACAGGGUAGGGUCUUCACCCAGCACACAGACAAGGCAAGCAGGGAGGGGAGAUGGCCAGCAUCCUCAGUCGGCCCUUCCUGCCUCCUCCUGCCUCCUGCGCUUGCCACCCAGCCUCUCCCCCAGUGUGCUCCAAGUUCACAGGGACCUGGGUCUCCAGCACUGGCCUAGUCAGCUCUUCUCUACCCUACCCCCAAUUUCCCAUCUGUGGAAGCCAGCCGUGAGCCUGAGGAGGAGGUGCCUCUGAGCUGUACUUCUCACCAAACAAGGAAAGAUUCAACAGCUACUGAGAUUUCAGGACCUAAAAGACAACCGCUGGACUUCACGGGACGAUGGCACCGUUGAUGGGAGCGGACACCCCACCACCACCACUCUUCACUGGGAAUGCUGCCGUGGGGGGUGAGGCCUUGCACCUCUGAAAACUGAGUUCUCAACUUGACUGUGCAGAUCCAAGUUGGGGGAACUUGACAAAGACUCAAAUGAUCAAUGCAGAAGCGGAAACGGCUGGUCCUUUUGCAGUGGUAGAGCAUUUGUGAGAAUAAGGACCUUCCCCUUCACUCCAGCCCUGCUUUCUCCCCGCAAGACCACAGAUGGAUUAAACUUCAGGGCAUUGUAGGGUUGAGCCACAGUGGGCCGUGCAUUUGGCUGACAUAUUUCCUCUACCCUCUGGGUGUCCAUGAGCAAUGUGCAUGGCCAGCUUCCUCUGGCUUCAGCUGUCCCCCCCGCUCUUCACUGUCAGCCUACUUCUUCACCCCCAAGCAAGAGCUUUCAAAAUUCGUCUGACCCAACCACACCCUUUGAAAUAAAAGUCCUGAGGCUGUGACCCAAUCACAGCCUUCAAAAUAAAAGUGCUGAGGCUGUGGGACUUCAGACUUGGCUUUGGCUCAAGAGCAGCUCCCCAGAGCCAGACUUCCUCCUCUUCCUUUUUUCUUGGAAGAGCAUUUCCAGGUCCUUGCUAUUCUGAGAAGAAAAAAAGUCUUCAGAUAAAUGUGUUCAUUCCAGCCCUCGAGAGGAACAGAGCAGAAAACCCAGGCAAAGGUGAGCAGCUUGACAAAGAACACUCCCUUGGAAACACCUUUCCUAGGGAAAUGGAAUUCCCCACUGUAGGGUCUCCUCAAACUCACCUAAUCCCCCAAGAACCAGGGUUUAGGAUGGGGAGAAUAGGCGGUGUUUUGGUCAAGACCCUCUCAAAUGGAUCAAUGCCAGAAAGGGUUUGCCCGGUCUGCCCUGUAACAUGAAUUCCCAAAUGGUCUUAUUAU